CCCACCCCAGCCCGGCCCCUGUCCUAGCCUCGCCUAGGAGUCUGGGAACUGCUCAGCCAGUGUGACCAGACAGACCCCACCUGGACGCCAGGCCCUGCCCAUGUCUGAGCCACCGUCUUGUUUCUGUCUCAGUCCCAGACUCAGCAGCAACCUCGGGCCCAGGCACUGCCUCCCAGGGGAACCAUUCAGUCCCUCCACACAGUUUUCUUCUCCAAAUAUUGUCCCCUUUGUCCUUCUAUCCAUCUCUGAAAGUGCAUGAGGAAGACCCGACGCCCCCAGAUGUCCUCAUCCUCACAUCAGGGACGUCUGGGGGAGCAGUGGGGUUCUGGCAGACUGCUUAUUCCGGGAAUGAAAGUUUGGAGGUCCAGCAGUGGGCACCAAGGGUGUGGGUUGUCCUGGGGAUCAAUCAGGGUGCUUUCUUGCAAGUGACAGAAACGGACCGGCUGAGUAAAGAAGAGGGAUUUAUUAAAGAGCAUUGGGAGGUCUGAGAAGGCUGGGAAACAGCUGAUCCAGGACCAGUCAAGCUGCAGUGGGUCUGCUGAGGCCUUCCGAGAUAUUCCUGGCCACCAACACUUAUGAUAACACUGGGUCAAUAGCAACCCUGACACAGGACGGUGGAUUCUAUCGCUACCACCCACCAUGCCCUCUUGGAUGUGACUAAGAGCAUUCCGCAUGGCACGGACUUCUCUGAGACCAUGGCUCCCGAUUUAAAACCCAGGGGGUCCAAGUCACAAACCCCUGCUCAUCUGCAGGUCAGGCAAGCAAGCAUUUGGCAAUUCAGCUUCUCCCAGGGGGCUGAGAAGCCAGGCAGCAAAAAAUCACUGAUAUGCGUCCAGUACAACGAGACUGCCUCCCCUCCUUACCAACUCCCUGCAGCCCAAGAUCCUGAAUCAUCUGUUUGAUUAGAAGUUCUGAACCCUAUUGAACUCUACACUAGAGCCUCCCCUCUUACGUUAUUUCACCCAUGAGGCAAAGCCACCCUCAUCUGGAAAGGAAGGAACCUUCUUCUUGCCCAUCCCGCGCUGAGACGGAGGGACCGUACCGAGCAAUCCAGGAACAAAGAUACUGCUCACCAGAAAGUGGUUGAUGAUCACACACUCCUGGGACAGAAAUCCACAGAGGACUUUCAGGCUUGGGAAACCCAAAGGUGGGGCUCCCUCAGCCGACUGGUGGCCCUGAAUCCUGAUAGACCAAUCCUAUAAUCCCUUCCGUGAAGGGGCCAAGAGUCUUCUAUAAGACCCUUGGGGCCCCUUCUACCCACAUGGGAAAGCCCCCUUCCUUGAAGACUGUGGACUCCAACAAAUCUGAAACACAAUCUCCAAGACCAGACAGUAGAAGGCCUCCUCCAGGUACACUCCAAGAAGGCGAGCUCACUGUAGGGACCUCUAUAGCAGCAAGAAGCUCUGCCUCUUUGGAAAACUCCAUAUGAUCAACAUUUGACCAGAGCCCAGCCAGGGCAAGCCAAUCUCCAGGACACAGACCUUGGCAGCAGACCUGUCCCUUCUGGAAACAUCUGGCGCUCGCUCCAUACCGAGGUCAGGAUGCUGAACCAUCUUCGGUUCAGAGAGCCCCUCGCCUUCAUCUCCCUCCUCACUUUCUCAGCGUUUAGGCCUCGGCCUCUACUCCCUUGCCUGCUUGUUAAAAGCCACGUGGGGAGCAGUUGUCCCCCCCCCCACCCCCCGCCUCCGAGGA